GACGAACGCUGGCGGCGUGCUUAACACAUGCAAGUCGAACGGAAAGGCCCCUUUGGGGGUACUCGAGUGGCGAACGGGUGAGUAACACGUGAGUAACCUUCCCUUGACUUCGGGAUAACUUCAGGAAACUGGGGCUAAUACCGGAUAGGAAUCCUUGCUUCAUGGUGGGGGUUGUAAAGCUUCGGCGGUUUUGGAUGGACUCGCGGCUUAUCAGCUCGUUGGUGGGGUAGUGGCUUACCAAGGCUUUUACGGGUAGCCGGCCUGAGAGGGCGACCGGCGACAUUGGGACUGAGAUACGGCCCAGACUCCUACGGGAGGCAGAAGUGGGGAAUAUUGCACAAUGGGCGGAAGCCUGAUGCAGCAACGCCGCGUGCGGGAUGACGGCCUUCGGGUUGUAAACCGCUUUCAGCAGGGGCGAAGCUUGUGGUGACGGUACCUGCAGAAGAAGCACCGGCUAACUACGUG
rnacentral:rRNA from 1 species